UUUUCCUUCAUUUCGGCCGAACCUUUGAUUUUCAAAAAAAAAAAAAAUUUGUCGGCGAGCUAUUUCGGUGAACCAACACUUCUAUUCUCUUCCUCUCAUUCUCCUGAGCUUGGUGGUGAAGCUUCCUCCCAGGGGAAGGAAAUUGCCGACCUGUGAGCGCGUCUCAAGACGAGACGACUGGUUCUAGUUGGGAUCGGAAAAGAAUUGCACUGUGGCAUUCGGAUUUUGAUGGUGACAGUGGACUUUAGUCCAACACUGCAAUGUGGGGUUCCACGGUCCGGCCUAAUGGGAGGUGGCGUGGUCAACCCUGAGUUUACCAUGGUUAAGAGGUGUGUGGAGCCAUUGACAGGGAGUUCUUAUAUGUGAGAAACCCGGGGUCACCACACGGGAAUCUCAGUGGCUAACACCUAGGAAGGCAGUAUUGUAAAUUUUAAAAGUUUUAAAACACCUUGGUGGUCCUGUAGCUAGUUGCAGCUACGAUUAGCUUGGGAAUUUUUUGAGGCCAGCCUGUAUUGAGCGGUGCUCAAUGU